UAGCAAUUUAAAUAAUAUUAAUGAUUAGUUUCUCCUAUGUAGUCCACUCCAUGGUCACACAUUUUGCAGAAGCCAGGCCUGCAUCACGUCUUCUCUAGGGUCAAGGUCGAUGCCAAUCUUCAGGACAAACUUUAUGCACAAGCAGGGUAGAUGCACUUGAAAGAUCGACCAGAGGGUACACCGAGACCAGGGGUGAUCAUGUCACUGAAUCAUCAUUGCUCACGCCAUUUGAUUCUCAUGGCGUGGCUUACGACUUCUACAACUUGUACUCUUGGGAGCAUAGUUUCACAUCUGUUAGGAAGAGCAAGAUGAACUCGCAAAGGAUAAAAGUGUAUACAAGAUACAGUCUGUGGUUGCUCCGAAAGUGUUUAUUUUUAAUAGUUAUGUUUGUGACAUGUUUUUUAAACUAGCAUAUUGUUCAAUCCAGCUUACAUGUUCA